AUAUCAAUAAGCGGAGGAAAAGAAACCAACCGGGAUUGCCUUAGUAACGGCGAGUGAAGCGGCAAAAGCUCAAAUUUGAAAUCUGGCGUCUUUGGGCGUCCGAGUUGUAAUUUGAAGAAGGUAACUCUGGGGCUGGUCCUUGCAUAAGUUCCCUGGAACGGGACGUCAUAGAGGGUGAGAAUCCCGUUUAUGGUGAGGUGUCCAGUCCUUUGUAGAGUGCUUUCGAAGAGUCGAGUUGUUUGGGAAUGCAGCUCUAAGUGGGUGGUAAAUUUCAUCUAAAGCUAAAUAUUGGCCAGAGACCGAUAGCGCACAAGUA
rnacentral:rRNA from 1 species